rnacentral:rRNA from 1 species
GAUGAACGCUAGCUACAGGCUUAACACAUGCAAGUCGAGGGGAAACGAUAUUGGAAGCUUGCUUCCGAUAGGCGUCGACCGGCGCACGGGUGAGUAACGCGUAUCCAACCUGCCCAUCACUUGGGGAUAACCUUGCGAAAGUAAGACUAAUACCCAAUGACGUCUCUAGAAGACAUCUGAAAGAGAUUAAAGAUUUAUCGGUGAUGGAUGGGGAUGCGUCUGAUUAGCUUGUUGGCGGGGUAACGGCCCACCAAGGCGACGAUCAGUAGGGGUUCUGAGAGGAAGGUCCCCCACAUUGGAACUGAGACACGGUCCAAACUCCUACGGGAGGCAGCAGUGAGGAAUAUUGGUCAAAUGGACGAGAGUCUGAACCAGCCAAGUAGCGUGCAGGAAGACGGCCCUAUGGGUUGUAAACUGCUUUUAUAAGGGAUAAAGUGAGUCUCGUGAGACUUUUUGCAUGUACCUUAUGAAUAAGGACCGGCUAAUUCCGUGCCAGCAGCC